rnacentral:rRNA from 1 species
GACGAACGCUGGCGGUGUGCUUAAUACAUGCAAGUCGAACGAUAAGGCCCUUCGGGGUACAUAAGUGGCGGACGGGUGAGUAAUACAUAGGUAAUCUGGCUCUAGGCGGGGGGAUAACGUUGGGAAACUGACGCUAAUACCCUAUAUGUCGCAGAUUGAAAUAUUUGCGAUAAAAGCUCCGGCGCCGAGAGAUGAGCCUGUGUCUGAUUAGCUAGUUGGUGGGGUAAAGGCCUACCAAGGCGAUGAUCAGUAGCUGGUCUGAGAGGAUGAUCAGCCACAAUGGGACUGAGACACGGCCCAUACUCCUACGGGAGGCUG